GAUGGCAGGAAGCUUGGCUCCAGUGAUGUACUGGGCCGUACGCACUCCCCUCUGUAAACGCCUUACGGUCGGAUGCCAAGCUGUUGCUUUACAGAGGGUAGUGCCAAAGGCCUGAAUACUUUCCGAAUGGACUUUAAACAGAAUACAGAAACAUUACAGGAUAUUUUUUUUAUGGUGGAAAUUGAAAUGUUAAAAUGUGAUUGUAAAAAAUGAAAUGUUUGCGAAAACCAUUUAAGAGCGAGAGUUAUUACACAGUGUCACACCCUGACCUUAGAGAGCCUGUUUAUUUCUCUAUUUGGUUAGGUCAGGGUGUGAUCUGGGUGGGCAUUCUAGUUUUCUAUUUCUUUGAUGGCCGGGUAUUGUUCCCAAUCAGAGGCAGCUAGCUGUCUAUCGUUGUCUCUGAUUGGGAACCAUACUUAGGCAGCCUAUUAGUUGCUGUAUUAGCCCUGCAGAACUUUAUGUUCAUUGAUCUUUUGUUGUUUUUUUGGUGUUCAUCUAAAAUAAAGAAAGAUGUCCACUUUCCAUGCCGCGCUUUUCAUUCCGACGACGGACGUAACAUACAGUCUGACAGCAGCGGGUAGAUUGGCAUUUUCGCAGGCAGUUCGUACGAGCGGUUAUACAGGACAGGUCGUGGGUGUUUCUCAGGGCGCACCGCAGACUGCUCUCACCUGCUCUGCAGUGGCGGGGGCCGUGGUUGGGCUGCUCCACCUCUGGGGAUGAGCCUCAAGGCCCUCUUCUGUGCCCUGUCUAGUCGGGCCUGCUGCUUUUUACUGCAUCCGCCCUUUUAUCAUUUGUUACAGGCUGUUUUUAAGGACAUGUAAAUGGGGCUCAUUUGGACAACAUCCCUCUUUUAUUGAUUUGCGCUGGCUGCGCCAGGCCGCAUCUGAAUGCAUAUGGACGUCUGUAAAAUGUCUCAAAUGUCUGAUCAAUUAAAAUCUUCCCUGUCAUGUUUUCCGGCACCAAUGGCAUAUGGGUUUUUAUUAAGAUUUUAGAAUAUUUGCAUGAAAAUCUGUCUCCAAUUGGAUGGGAACCUAGCUAUAGACACCCUAAAUACUCUGGCAAGUGCGUAUGCCUGCACAUCAUGGUUCACCAACAGCCCCAAACAUCUAAAGAAUAAGCUACCAGCCAAACAAGCUUGGAAGAAUUGUACCUAAACUCCCCCCUCACACUCAUCUCGAGAUUGAGCAUUUUUUUUCACCUCAAUCUCUGUAAUGUGUCUGUAUCUCUGUAAUGUGUCUUGUAUCUAUGUAAUUGUUUAUGUGUUCAUGCAAAACAUAGGGACCACAAUGUAAGGGAUCUCGUCCUCCUCCUCCUCUGAGGAGAAGCGAGAAGGAUCGGAGGACCAAAACACAGCGUGUGGUUAAACAUUGAUGUUGGGAGGGGUUUUGGCCUCUGAUUAUGGAUCUGCUUGUCUGCACUAAGACAACCCUGCCAGGGCACAGAUCAAACUUGAACUUCCUCCUUGUCAACUGACACCUCAACUACCCAUCUUGAGGAAGAACAGAAGAGGAAAGGGGAAGUGGGAAAGGCAACAAAUGAAUAGAUGGUGUGAAUUUGUCAUAUCCUUUACCUCACUUGUAGCUGUCACAAUUAGAUACGCUGCGGUUUCAACAACGCUGUUUAUCUCGUGCAUCAACCACUGAGUGGGGGUCACUUUCCUUAAGCUAGAAGUGAAAACCACUCUCGCAGCACCAUGCAAGAUUACAUUACCUUAACAAAUAACAAUAGCUUUUGCUCUCAUUCUAUAGUAUGCGGGCAAUGUAUGUCUAUGUGGACAAAUUGUUGCAGCUAUUCAUCUGUCUGUAUUGGUGACCUGUUCAAAGGUUGUGUUUUCCCUACAGAUGGAUUAGGGCUAUGUACGUACAUGCAUAGAUAACUGAUCUCAGGACAGGUUUAUCUGGAAGUGUUAGCCUUUAGCACUGUUUCUUCACUGCUGAUUGCAUUGACAGUGAGAAGAUAGCAUAUCCAAUCCAUAGGCGUAGCCUGAUUUGUAUUAGUAGGCUAUUCCCAGCCACCUCUCAUUUAGAGUAAAUGGCAAACUGAAAACCAUAUGAACUUGGUAGCAUAUAGGGUCACAAAGCUACUGGUAAAUUUACCAAAGUUACCGUAAUAUUCAGUCAUUUUAGUAAUUAACAGAAAAUGAUGGCAAUCCAGCAUAACUUUAUUAUAUCUGUUUGUACAUAUUGUCCAUGAGUUUCUAGUUGAUAGAGCAACUAGUGAAAGUAGAGCAUUUGGGUCCAAAUGGACCCAUUUUCAAGUGAAAAUAGCCUAAAUAAUGGAAAAAUAAUCUAAUUAACAAGGGCUUCAUUUUCAAUGAACUCUGCAACUCUUCCAACUAUUGACUUUUUUCACAACUGCCACCAGUUUGAUGCCAAAGCAUUGACACCUACAUAUUGACAUAGUAAAAUAAAUGUUUGUAAAUUUUUUUUUAUUUAUAAUUAAAAAGGGUAUUUCAUGCUGAAACUCUCAUAUUAAUCACCAAUGGUAUUCAAGUUGAUUGUUUAGAUUUAGCAUAAUGUUUUACAGCUUUGCCAUUCUUUUUAAGAUUUUAAAAUCACCUCAUUCAAUUAUUUCACAUAUUUGACAUGCAAUAAGGCCGCACAGAGGGCCAGAGAUUAUUACAGACACGUGGAAAUCUGAAAAUCUCAAAAGGGCCACUAGAUGUCUUUUGAUAGAUUACAUAAAAUCCUUGAAAGAUAAAGAAAUUCUAAAGUUUCCAGUAAUAUACCCAACCUUUUUAACUCUAGUAGCACGUCUGCGUUCAGGUUUGCUUUUUGACCCCUUCCUUAUUCUUGGAGAAGGAAUUUCAGAUGAUCCCAUCAGAAAUGUGCAGCGUAUAGACUUUUGAAGGCCUUACUGGAUUGAGGAAAAGUAGGCUAUUGAAGUAGUGAGGUUGACUUAACACUAUAAACCUCACAUUUCAAAUACAAGGUUUAAGGAAGUGUUUGCAUUGCUCUUCGUGUCCAUCCUGUGUCCAUAUAUUAAAAACUUCUCAAUAAAACCUUGUCAGCUAUCCUUACAUGAAGGGACAAAUUUGCAAAAGGAGAUUUCUGGAGUUCACUGGUAAUACAAGGCCUUUCUGAUGCAAUCCAGUCACAUCUGACAUCAUAAAAAUGGAUACCCAUUUGGGGAUAAGAAUGGCAAGUAUUGGUGCACACUCAAGUGUAUACAGAGCAGAGGAAAGACGGGUAACCGUGGCAACCUUGCCAGUGAGUAAACACAAGGGUGAGCACAGGGCGUCCUAAGAGAGGAAUGUCAAAUAUGCACAGGCACUUGACCACACAGCUAGGUUACAGCUCAGCUCCCUAUCUAAUGGUCAACACACCAACUUCAGUAUAUCCACAUGGCUAGUUAUGAAACGGAGCUCAAUGCAUGCAGGAUAAGGACUAAGUUGUUGUUUUGGGUCAAAUGCCUUCAGUGACUGACAGUAUUUGGGGCCAAAUACAAUAUCACCCAUUUGUGUUGACAUAGCAGCCAUGUAUAGAUAGACAUAGACUGGUUUCUCACAGCGAGAAAACGAGGGUAUAGACUGGUUUCUAUUUUUGUAUUGUUUAAGCACAAAAUACAGUUUGAUAAUAUGAUAAGUUAUGUGUGUAUCUUUGCAUAAACCAUGUAUUCUGCCCUCAUAUAGCCUCGGUUUGUGUUGUCAUCAAGUAGUGAGGAAUGUUUGGCUUAUUGAAUCAAACUUGAAGCAAGCUGUAAAACAGACAAAAAGACCAUUAAAUGCAAGGAAUUACAUUUCUUUAUCAUUUUCAUUUAUUUCUCCUGUUCAGGCGAUCAAAAAAUAAAUUCAUACUUUUUUUCUUAAUAAUUCACACAUCGUUUUCACAGACCCUGACAUGUUCUUGAUAAAUAAGUACAAAAUACAUUGGUAUUAACACAAUAAAUAUCAUAAUAAAUAUAUUAGUUAAGUCUAUACAAUUACAAAAAGGCAAAUAAGUCAACCUAUAGUCUAUGGAAAUACUGUGAUGUUACAGUCCCUGAUGAAAUAGAAGUCACCUACUACAGUUGAGUAAGACCCAACCAGGGUUGUCAAAACAUUAUGCAACAAAACAGGUCUCUCAAUAAAUGGCAAGGCUACACAAAUACCCCCUCCUAGAUCUGUGACAUACACAGACGGCGUACUAGCACCUUCUCACUUUUGUCACAGAUGUGUUAAAAUAUAAUGGACCCCCCCCCCCAAAAAAAAUGGAAAAA